GGGUUGUGAGGUUAAGCGACUAAGCGUACACGGUGGAUGCCCUGGCAGUCAGAGGCGAUGAAGGACGUGCUAAUCUGCGAUAAGCGUCGGUAAGGUGAUAUGAACCGUUAUAACCGGCGAUUUCCGAAUGGGGAAACCCAGUGUGUUUCGACACACUAUCAUUAACUGAAUCCAUAGGUUAAUGAGGCGAACCGGGGGAACUGAAACAUCUAAGUACCCCGAGGAAAAGAAAUCAACCGAGAUUCCCCCAGUAGCGGCGAGCGAACGGGGAGGAGCCCAGAGCCUGAAUCAGUGUGUGUGUUAGUGGAAGCGUCUGGAAAGGCGCGCGAUACAGGGUGACAGCCCCGUACACAAAAAUGCACAUGCUGUGAGCUCGAUGAGUAGGGCGGGACACGUGGUAUCCUGUCUGAAUAUGGGGGGACCAUCCUCCAAGGCUAAAUACUCCUGACUGACCGAUAGUGAACCAGUACCGUGAGGGAAAGGCGAAAAGAACCCCGGCGAGGGGAGUGAAAAAGAACCUGAAACCGUGUACGUACAAGCAGUGGGAGCACGCUUAGGCGUGUGACUGCGUACCUUUUGUAUAAUGGGUCAGCGACUUAUAUUCUGUAGCAAGGUUAACCGAAUAGGGGAGCCGAAGGGAAACCGAGUCUUAACUGGGCGUUAAGUUGCAGGGUAUAGACCCGAAACCCGGUGAUCUAGCCAUGGGCAGGUUGAAGGUUGGGUAACACUAACUGGAGGACCGAACCGACUAAUGUUGAAAAAUUAGCGGAUGACUUGUGGCUGGGGGUGAAAGGCCAAUCAAACCGGGAGAUAGCUGGUUCUCCCCGAAAGCU
rnacentral:rRNA from 1 species